CAUGUUGAUAGAAAAUAGAGCAAAAGUUAGCCAACAUCUAAAGAAGAGCUUUGAAUACCCUUCAAGAACACUGGAGAACUAUACCAAAGUCCUUAACAAUCAUCCAGACAUUGUAUAGUCAUCUUUAGGCAACUAAAAGUUAUGAAUCCCAAGCAGCUCAGGUUCAACAGACAACCAUUAUGAGAAUGAUCGACCAGAACUACUGACAAAUGUACUGUGUCAGAUAUAAAGGUAUGUGGUUGUGACUGAGAAACUCUCUUUUGUGACAGCUGAAUCAUUUUAGCAGCAAAGUGUUCUCCCAGUUGCAAAAAGUGUUUCCAUGGCGACUCGGAUACAGCAGUUGGCUCAACCCAAACCGAACCGACUAAGAUAUCCAGACCGUCGGUCUGUUUACUGGCUGGAUAAGCUUCCACCAGAAAGGAGCGGAUUAACCACUAAAAUUGAGUUAACCCCCUGCUGGUCAGACUUGUGCAUAAGUAAAAAGUUCUACAAUCAAGUCACGUAAAUAUAAUAGACUUCUAACUAGAAAGCGAAAAUUUCAGAAGAAAUUUUAUGUGUGCCUAUGCCGCUGCUAAUCACUGUAGUUUGCCAUUCAUACGGCUACAGAGAGCAAAACUCAGAAGAGCAGCCAUUCUCCACCAUGAACUAUGGUAAAA
ensembl:lncRNA